UUGGAGGGCAAGUCUGGUGCCAGCAGCCGCGGUAAUUCCAGCUCCAAUAGCGUAUAUUAAAGUUGUUGCAGUUAAAAAGCUCGUAGUUGAAUUUCGGGAUUGACACAUCGGUCGUGCCUUAAGGGGUAUGAACUGGUGUAGUCAAUUCCUCACCUUCUGGAGAACCGCGAUGCCCUUAAUUGGGUGUCGCGGGGAACCAGGACCUUUACUUUGAAAAAAUUAGAGUGUUUAAAGCAGGCAUUUUGCUUGAAUACAUUAGCAUGGAAUAAUAAAAUAGGACGGCAUGAUUCUAUUUUGUUGGUUUCUAGGAUCACCGUAAUGAUUAAUAGGGAUAGUUGGGGGCAUUAGUAUUCAAUUGUCAGAGGUGAAAUUCUUGGAUUUAUUGAAGACUAACUACUGCGAAAGCAUUUGCCAAGGAUGUUUUCAUUAAUCAAGAACGAAAGUCAGGGGAUCGAAGACGAUCAGAUACCGUCGUAGUCUUAACCAUGAACUAUGCCGACUAGGAAUCAGACGAUGUUAAUUUUUUAAUGACUCGUUCGGCGCCUUACGGGAAAC
rnacentral:rRNA from 1 species